AUUGAACGCUGGCGGCAUGCCUUACACAUGCAAGUCGAACGGUAACAGGUCUUCGGAUGCUGACGAGUGGCGAACGGGUGAGUAAUACAUCGGAACGUGCCUAGUCGUGGGGGAUAACUACUCGAAAGAGUGGCUAAUACCGCAUGAGAUCUACGGAUGAAAGCAGGGGAUCGCAAGACCUUGCGCUACUAGAGCGGACGAUGGCAGAUUAGGUAGUUGGUGGGAUAAAAGCUUACCAAGCCGACGAUCUGUAGCUGGUCUGAGAGGACGAUCAGCCACACUGGGACUGAGAAACGGCCCAGACUCCUACGGGAGGCAGCAGUGGGGAAUUUUGGACAAUGGGCGCAAGCCUGAUCCAGCAAUGCCGCGUGCAGGAUGAAGGCCUUCGGGUUGUAAACUGCUUUUGUACGGAACGAAAAGCCCCGGGUUAAUACCCUGGGGUCAUGACGGUACCGUAAGAAUAAGCACCGGCUAACUACGUGCCAGCCGCCGCAGUAA
rnacentral:rRNA from 1 species